UACGUAGGGGGCUAGCGUUGUCCGGAAUCAUUGGGCGUAAAGAGCGUGUAGGCGGCCCGGUAAGUCCGCUGUGAAAGUCGGGGGCUCAACCCUCGAAUGCCGGUGGAUACUGUCGGGCUAGAGUGCGGAAGAGGCGAGUGGAAUUCCUGGUGUAGCGGUGAAAUGCGCAGAUAUCAGGAGGAACACCGGUGGCGAAGGCGGCCCUCUGGACGGAUACUGACGCUGAGGCGCGAAAGCGUGGGGAUCAAACAGG
rnacentral:rRNA from 1 species